rnacentral:rRNA from 1 species
UACAGAGGUGGCAAGCGUUGUUCGGAAUUACUGGGCGUAAAGGGCGCGUAGGCGGCGUGUUAAGUCACUUGUGAAAUCUCUAAGCUUAACUUAGAACGGUCAAGUGAUACUGAUGUGCUAGAGUGCAGAAGGGGCAACCGGAAUUCUUGGUGUAGCGGUGAAAUGCGUAGAUAUCAAGAGGAACACCUGAGGUGAAGACGGGUUGCUGGGCUGACACUGACGCUGAGGCGCGAAAGCUAGGGUAGCAAACGGG